CCUACGGGAGGCAGCAGUGGGGAAUAUUGCACAAAGGGGGGCAACCUUGAUGCAGCCAUGCCGCGUGUGUGAAGAAAGGCCCUCGGGUUGUAAAGCACUUUCAGUGUGAGGGAAAGGUUAGUAGUUAAUACCUGCUAGCUGUGACGUUAACAACAGAAGAAGCACCGGCUAACUCCGUGCCAGCAGCCGCGGUAAUACGGAGGGUGCGAGCGUUAAUCGGAAUUACUGGGCGUAAAGCGCACGCAGGCGGUCUGUUAAGCUAGAUGUGAAAGCCCCGCGCUCAACGUGGGAGGGUCAUUUAGAACUGGCAGACUAGAGUCUUGGAGAGGGGAGUGGAAUUCCAGGUGUAGCGGUGAAAUGCGUAGAGAUCUGGAGGAACAUCAAUGGCGAAGGCAACUCCCUGGCCAAAGACUGACGCUCAUGUGCGAAAGUGUGGGUAGCGAACAGGAUUAGAUACCCUGGUAGUCCACACCGUAAACGCUGUCUACUAGCUGUUUGUGGAUUUAAUCCGUGAGUAGCGAAGCUAACGCGAUACACGAUAGACCGCCUGGGGAGUACGGCCGCAAGGUUAAAACUCAAAUGAAUUGCCCCGCUCUCGUCAUUAGCCACUGGGUGGAGCAUGUGGAAUAAUAAGACUAUGCCUAUUCUGGAGACCUUACCUACUCUUGACUACUGAAACUUUCAGAGAUGAAUARARDNWDCUARSBSACUUNCUUURDSYNCHCCCUSCNARARDNWDCUARGAGUUUGAUCCUGGCUCAGGAUGAACGCUGGCGGUAUGCUUAACACAUGCAAGUCGAACGAUUUCUAUCGAGCUUGCUCGGUAGAAAUAGUGGCGGACGGGUGAGUAACGCGUAAGAAUCUACCCUUAGGCGGGGGAUAACAACUGGAAACGGUUGCUAAUACCCCAUAAGCUGAUGAGUAAAAGAAUUUUUCACCUAGGGAUGAGCUUGCGUCUGAUUAGCUUGUUGGUGGGGUAAUGGCUUACCAAGGCAACGAUCAGUAGCUGGUUUGAGAGGAUGAUCACCCACCCUGGGACUGAGAUACGGCCCAAACUCCUACGGGAAGGCAGCAGUGGGGAAUUUCCCAR
rnacentral:rRNA from 1 species